UACAGAGGUCUCGAGCGUUAGGCGGAAUCACUGGGCUUAAAGCGUGUGUAGGCGGACUGGUAAGUCCCUUGUGAAAUCCCACGGCUCAACCGUGGAACUGCUUGGUAUACUGCUUGUCUUGUGCAACCUAGGGGCGAGCGGAACAGAUGGUGGAGCGGUGAAAUGCGUAGAUAUCAUCUGGAACGCCAAUGGUGAAAACAGCUCGCUGGGGGUUUGCAGACGCUGAGACACGAAAGCCAGGGGAGCAAACGGG
rnacentral:rRNA from 1 species